GACGAACGCUGGCGGCGUGCUUAACACAUGCAAGUCGAACGGAAAGGCCCUGCUUUUGUGGGGUGCUCGAGUGGCGAACGGGUGAGUAACACGUGAGUAACCUGCCCUUGACUUUGGGAUAACUUCAGGAAACUGGGGCUAAUACCGGAUAGGAGCUCCUGCUGCAUGGUGGGGGUUGGAAAGUUUCGGCGGUUGGGGAUGGACUCGCGGCUUAUCAGCUUGUUGGUGGGGUAGUGGCUUACCAACGCUUUGAAGGGUAGCCGGCCUGGGAGGGUGACCGGCGACAUUGCGCCUGCGAUACGGCCCAGACUCCUACGGGAGGCAGCAGUGGGAAAUAUUGCACAAUGGGCGGAAGCCUGAUGCGACAACGCCGCGUGCGUGAUGACGGCCUUCGGGUUGUAAACCGCUUUCGCCUGUGACGAAGCGUGAGUGACGGUAAUGGGUAAAGAAGCACCGGCUAACUACGUG
rnacentral:rRNA from 1 species